AUUCCCAGGAUUCCACACAGGAAGAAGAUGAUCUGGGUGAUGACCAGAUCUGUAAAGUAGAAAUCAAAGAAGAAGAGAUGUAUGUGAUGGGUGAUCAGCCCUAUGCAGAGAACGAUAUGUCUCCAGAGAGCAGCACAGAUGGUCACAAUGGGUGGAAUAAUAUUGAACGGCAUCGUAUUUCAUCUCCAGAUUACAAUGAAUAUCAUGCACAUGAA